ensembl:lncRNA
GUCAGGUUGGCGGCUCCGGGUGGAGUCACGAGUCUCAGGGCAGAUAGACUAUGAGAACAGAAGUGAGGCCAAGUACAGCAGCAUUUUACUUUUUACUACCACGUAAGACUCCCCAACCCAACUAGGGGGGCUUGAUCCUCUGAACACAGUCUUGACAUCUGUAAAAUAAGGAUAAUAAUUACAUCUAUCUUUGGGGUUAUUGAAUACAAAAAGAUAUAGACACCGUCAGGACCAGUAACAGCAAUUCAGGCUAGAGCUAUGGGCUCACUAGAGACCAGAUGUCUCAAAACAACAGUGUGGGUGACUUGAAGAUCAAAGAGAUGAAAUAAUCUGUCCAAGUUCACAAAGCUGGAGGAGGCUUACAGGACAGAUGACAAAAAAGGAGAAGUACACUGCCUGACUGUAACUCCAUCUGAGACAGCAUCAGGAGGAAAGAGGGAUACUGAGGCAGAAUGUGACAUAUCCUGGAAUAUGUUCCCUUUGGAUUUAAAGUGUAUUUCUGGUUGUCCCAUAGAUGCCAUUGAAUGAUCAGUCAUUGUUCAUCAAAUAUUCAUCUUGCAGGUAGUCUCCCACAGCCAGAAGAAGAAAAAGAAAAAAAAAAAAAGAAAGAAAAACCUUAGAGUACAUGCAUAUGAACUUUUAAUUUACAAAAUAAAUCAAAUGUGAUCAGAGUAAUUUAAAGCAUGAAACCUUUGCUAGAGAAGUCC